UUCUAAAUAUAAUAAUUUUUUGAAAAAUAUGUACCAUACAAAAAAUAGCUGUGGAAAUCCAAUCACUCAACCUUUUUGAACUAGCAGCAUACUUAAAAAAACUUGCAGGAACUAGGUUUGGCUUUUUUGGCCUAAAUUGUACAGGAUAGCUGAUGGAAAGAAUGGAAAGUCGGGGAGUUCAGUAAGGGGAAUUGGGGGUGUAUAC
rnacentral:lncRNA from 1 species